CCUCCGUGUGCUGCGGGCCGCCGUGCUUGUGCUCGUGGCGGAGCGGCGGCUUGGGCUGGGCUCGGCCGUCGGGCGGCGGCAGGGAGUGCAGUCGGAAAGGAAGAGACGGAACUGCAGCGCACACGCCAGCUGGGAAUCGGUGACUCAGGAUAUUCAGUCAUAAAUGGUGUCCGUCCCUUUCCAGCUGAACGCAGGGAGCAGCGAUGAGGUUUGAGCUUGACGUAAGAGCAGGAUUCUACUCGAACCCGAGGAUUCCCACACUGGAUUUUACAACCUGCCUUCACAUAUGAGAUGUUGAAGCUUUCAAUGAGGUCACGCCAGACACUGACAAGCACUGAUGGGAUGUCAGUACGAAUUGUUAUUUUGAUGAUUCCUUACCCCCAUACUUCUGAAAGGGAAAGCAACUGUAAACACAAGGGAGACUGACCUCAGUGAUUUCCUCUGUUCAGGCGGGAGCACAAUGCGCUCAAACACCAAGACAAGGAGAAGUGGACUGUUUAGAAUUCCUCCAGCUGUAAUCUAUAGUAAAAACAAAUAAACAAAUACGUGACUA